ACGCCCAGAACAGCGCGACCUGGGUGUUCAGUGACAGGGAUUGAGAAAGCCUUCAUUGAGGGAGGGCCCGCAGGCAGGGAGCCUCAAGGUGCGCUCAGGGAGUGGUGAAUGGACCAGUUUGACUGCUGGGGCACAGCAUUUGUCCUGGGAGCCAGGGCAGAAAGACAAGUGUGGACCCGAGCCAGGAAGGUCUUGGUGAUCUCAAAACAGCAUUUCUUCAUGGUCUUUGUUGUGAGAAGUGGCACUUUCGAUUUUGGACUUCACAGUACAACGUGUCAAUGUCAAGGCUUAUUUGUGAAGUGGGUUUUUGAGAAUCAUUGGUGAAGUCUGCUGAAAUAAGGAAGACCCUGAUAAAAAUUAGUUCCUGGAUUAAACAGGAUGUUUGGCUGAAGCUCAAAUGUCAAGAGAGGCCAGAGAAGACUAAAAUUUUUCUUAAAUGGAGCUAAGAGAAAUGACUCUCAAUGCACCUACCUUAUGAAACAUUAAUUAAGAAAUGGAAACAACCUAAAUGCCCCUCAACUGAUGAAUGAAUAAUGAAAAUGUGGUACAUUUACCCAAUGGAGCUCCACUCAGUAGUAAAGAAGAACACAGUCAUGGAAUUUGCAGGUACUUUAAUAGAGUUUUGAGGAAUAAAUGGAAAAAGAUAUCUGAGUUCUGUCUAUACAUGCCGCUUUGAUUGAGUUUUGGUCAAGGACAACAGUUGCAGAUUUGGGGUUUGCAGUGGAGAGAAGUCCUGAUUUUGAAAUCUUCUGUGCAAACUCAUAAUAUAAAAUAAUGACCAAAGAACAGCUCUGUCGGAUGAGUACUUGUGGGUUUUCUUAGUUUUCUUUGUAGCCUUGGCCUGAGAACACCUGGGAAACAUGGUCUUCAAACCACUGAUUCAGAGGUCUCUGAACACUGUUUAUCUCUUCAUAAUACAUUAAUGAAGUUUAUGACAUUAAGGAAGGAGCAUUGAUUUAUUCCUUUGAAGAUCACUGUUAUUGUUUCUAGUUAUUGACAGGGUAUAAGAAAGUGAUAAAGAGGGCUCAGUGGUUAAGAGCACAUAGUGCUCUUGCAAUGGACUGGAGGUUGGUUCCCAGCACCCGUGGGGCAGAUCACAACUGCCUAUAACUCCAGUUCCAGGGGAUCUGAUACCUCUGACCUCCUCAGGUACAGCAUGCACUAUGCACGCACACAACCACACAUAAUGAAAAAUAAUAAAAAUACAUCUAAAAAAUAAGA